rnacentral:rRNA from 1 species
GGUCAAGUGAAGAAGCGCAUACGGUGGAUGCCUUGGCAGUCAGAGGCGAUGAAAGACGUGGUAGCCUGCGAAAAGCUUCGAGGAGUCGGCAAACAGACUUUGAUCCGGAGAUCUCUGAAUGGGGGAACCCACCUAGGAUAACCUAGGUAUCUUGUACUGAAUCCAUAGGUGCAAGAGGCGAACCAGGGGAACUGAAACAUCUAAGUACCCUGAGGAAAAGAAAUCAACCGAGAUUCCCUUAGUAGUGGCGAGCGAACGGGGAUUAGCCCUUAAGCUUCAUUGAUUUUAGCGGAACGCUCUGGAAAGUGCGGCCAUAGUGGGUGAUAGCCCCGUACGCGAAAGGAUCUUUGAAGUGAAAUCGAGUAGGACGGAGCACGAGAAACUUUGUCUGAACAUGGGGGGACCAUCCUCCAAGGCUAAAUACUACUGACUGACCGAUAGUGAACCAGUACCGUGAGGGAAAGGCGAAAAGAACCCCGGAGAGGGGAGUGAAAUAGAACCUGAAACCGUAUGCGUACAAGCAGUGGGAGCCUACUUGUUAGGUGACUGCGUACCUUUUGUAUAAUGGGUCAGCGACUUAUAUUCAGUGGCAAGCUUAACCGUAUAGGGUAGGCGUAGCGAAAGCGAGUCUUAAUAGGGCGUUUAGUCGCUGGGUAUAGACCCGAAACCGGGCGAUCUAUCCAUGAGCAGGUUGAAGGUUAGGUAACACUGACUGGAGGACCGAACCCACUCCCGUUGAAAAGGUAGGGGAUGACUUGUGGAUCGGAGUGAAAGGCUAAUCAAGCUCGGAGAUAGCUGGUUCUCCUCGAAAGCUAUUUAGGUAGCGCCUCAUGUAUCACUCUGGGGGGUAGAGCACUGUUUCGGCUAGGGGGUCAUCCCGACUUACCAAACCGAUGCAAACUCCGAAUACCCAGAAGUGCCGAGCAUGGGAGACACACGGCGGGUGCUAACGUCCGUCGUGAAAAGGGAAACAACCCAGACCGCCAGCUAAGGUCCCAAAGUUGUGGUUAAGUGGUAAACGAUGUGGGAAGGCUUAGACAGCUAGGAGGUUGGCUUAGAAGCAGCCACCCUUUAAAGAAAGCGUAAUAGCUCACUAGUCGAGUCGGCCUGCGCGGAAGAUGUAACGGGGCUCAAACCACACACCGAAGCUGCGGGUGUCACGUAAGUGACGCGGUAGAGGAGCGUUCUGUAAGCCUGUGAAGGUGAGUUGAGAAGCUUGCUGGAGGUAUCAGAAGUGCGAAUGCUGACAUGAGUAACGACAAUGGGUGUGAAAAACACCCACGCCGAAAGACCAAGGGUUCCUGCGCAACGUUAAUCGACGCAGGGUUAGUCGGUUCCUAAGGCGAGGCUGAAAAGCGUAGUCGAUGGGAAACAGGUUAAUAUUCCUGUACUUCUGGUUACUGCGAUGGAGGGACGGAGAAGGCUAGGCCAGCUUGGCGUUGGUUGUCCAAGUUUAAGGUGGUAGGCUGAAAUCUUAGGUAAAUCCGGGGUUUCAAGGCCGAGAGCUGAUGACGAGUCGUCUUUUAGAUGACGAAGUGGUUGAUGCCAUGCUUCCAAGAAAAGCUUCUAAGCUUCAGGUAACCAGGAACCGUACCCCAAACCGACACAGGUGGUCGGGUAGAGAAUACCAAGGCGCUUGAGAGAACUCGGGUGAAGGAACUAGGCAAAAUGGCACCGUAACUUCGGGAGAAGGUGCGCCGGCUAGGGUGAAGGAUUUACUCCGUAAGCUCUGGCUGGUCGAAGAUACCAGGCCGCUGCGACUGUUUAUUAAAAACACAGCACUCUGCAAACACGAAAGUGGACGUAUAGGGUGUGACGCCUGCCCGGUGCCGGAAGGUUAAUUGAUGGGGUUAGCGCAAGCGAAGCUCUUGAUCGAAGCCCCGGUAAACGGCGGCCGUAACUAUAACGGUCCUAAGGUAGCGAAAUUCCUUGUCGGGUAAGUUCCGACCUGCACGAAUGGCGUAACGAUGGCGGCGCUGUCUCCACCCGAGACUCAGUGAAAUUGAAAUCGCUGUGAAGAUGCAGUGUAUCCGCGGCUAGACGGAAAGACCCCGUGAACCUUUACUGUAGCUUUGCACUGGACUUUGAGCCUGCUUGUGUAGGAUAGGUGGGAGGCUUUGAAGCGUGGACGCCAGUUCGCGUGGAGCCAUCCUUGAAAUACCACCCUGGCAUGCUUGAGGUUCUAACUCUGGUCCGUAAUCCGGAUCGAGGACAGUGUAUGGUGGGCAGUUUGACUGGGGCGGUCUCCUCCUAAAGAGUAACGGAGGAGUACGAAGGUGCGCUCAGACCGGUCGGAAAUCGGUCGCAGAGUAUAAAGGCAAAAGCGCGCUUGACUGCGAGACAGACACGUCGAGCAGGUACGAAAGUAGGUCUUAGUGAUCCGGUGGUUCUGUAUGGAAGGGCCAUCGCUCAACGGAUAAAAGGUACUCCGGGGAUAACAGGCUGAUACCGCCCAAGAGUUCAUAUCGACGGCGGUGUUUGGCACCUCGAUGUCGGCUCAUCACAUCCUGGGGCUGAAGCCGGUCCCAAGGGUAUGGCUGUUCGCCAUUUAAAGUGGUACGCGAGCUGGGUUUAGAACGUCGUGAGACAGUUCGGUCCCUAUCUGCCGUGGACGUUUGAGAUUUGAGAGGGGCUGCUCCUAGUACGAGAGGACCGGAGUGGACGAACCUCUGGUGUUCCGGUUGUCACGCCAGUGGCAUUGCCGGGUAGCUAUGUUCGGAAAAGAUAACCGCUGAAAGCAUCUAAGCGGGAAACUUGCCUCAAGAUGAGAUCUCACUGGGAACUUGAUUCCCCUGAAGGGCCGUCGAAGACUACGACGUUGAUAGGCUGGGUGUGUAAGCGUUGUGAGGCGUUGAGCUAACCAGUACUAAUUGCCCGUGAGGCUUGACCAU